rnacentral:misc_RNA from 1 species
GACUCGUAUAUUUAAUAAAUAAAUUUCAAAAUAUAUCUAUCUUAAUUUAUAGUGAACGAAUUUAGACGAGAAAAAAAAUCUGAGAAUAUAUAUUAAGAGGCAUGCAUGAAGCUGUAAGCCUGUAGAUAUGGAUUACCCUUUCUUGCCACUUCGUUAUCUCUUAGUGUGAGCUUUGGUGAUAUCUUUUUUGAGCACCUGAUCAACAACCUUUCCAAAUUCAUUGAAAUUGGUAAUGGCUUGGUGAGAUUGGUCAUCGUCUUGGGAAAUUGGUGGAGACUGGAAGUGUGUUCGAACUUCUGUGAAUUCUUCCCAAUAUUUGGAGGCUUCUUCUUUUGGAGAGUCUAACAUGAUGUGAAUGAUUGCCUUAUAUAAAGGACGUCUUGCAUCAGAAAUUUCUUCGUGACUAAGGCAUUCACAUUUUAAAGCCUUAUCGUAAUCUCCCUAGAAAUGCAUCAUCAAGAAAAUUACGAGAAAAUACAGAAAGAAUGGCAAAAAUACUAAAUUUGGCUUUUGUCGGUGCUCUAAUAUCACUUGUUUAUCAUGAAUCGAAAUAAAUAGGAAUGCUUGCUGUUGCCAGUAAAUGAAUUGAUGCAAUAAAUAAAAUGGCAAGUGGAGUGAAACACCUUGUAAAUAAGCAUUUCAACAAGCAACAUUUCAAUUUCAUAAGCUUCUUGAGGUUUUUCCUCCAUUCUGGCCUUUUUCACUGCACUUUCGAGUAUUCCCACUGCAACUGCUUCCUUUCCACUCAUUUCCAGCUUUGCAACAGCGCUCUGCAGCUUUUUGAAAUCAGGUUGUUCCUCUUCGAGUAGAACUUUUAAUUCAGAUUCAGCUGCGUUUAGUGAUGCUGCAUCUGCUCUAGCUUGAUGGUAAUCAGUUAGCCUUUCCAUGGCCAGUUUGCCUCCAUGGAGAGCUCCCAUGGACAUGGACCUUGCAAAAACACCAUCAUUUUUGCUUUUAAAAGCAUGUUUUGCAUAAUAAAAUACCACGCAUGUUCCUGCAAUGAUCACAAUUGGAG